ACAAGGUAAGUUAUUAAAGGAUUAGUUUACCUUCCCGGCAGUCCCCGGUACUUGCUCUCACUGCUCCUGCUGCAAAAAUGGAGGCUGCUGAUCCAACAAGAAUAAAAACCUACCCAAAAUGCUAACGAAUUGUACAAGCAGGACGAGUUGCACCUGAAUCAGACGGGCACCAAUAUCCUGGGAGGUUUGCACCUUCACAGUGGCGCAGUAAGAGGUGUCAAGUUGAAAUUUGAGCAAACGCUGCCGUAUCCAGUAGUCUAGCCAUUGGCCUGAAGUCCGAGGAGAACUAAACCAUACUAACGACGCAAUGUCCACCUCCC